rnacentral:tRNA from 2 species
GGAGUAGUGGCUGAGAGGUUGAAGGCACACCCCUGCUAAGGGUGCAUAUGGGCUAAAACCUGUAUCGAGGGUUCAAAUCCCUCCUACUCCGCCA